rnacentral:lncRNA from 1 species
GUGUUGUGAGUCCUCUCUAUGGAAUCCUCAUGAAAUCUUGAAUAAAGUAUGGAUUUCCCAUCAUUGCAUCAUGGAGUUGGUUAGCCACAGAUGGGAGUUGGGUCCAGAUGCUGAGCCUGCUCAGGGUGGGCACAGGAGAAAACAGAGGCUGCUCAUGUGGGGUUGUUUUGAUGAUCACAAGAGUGGGAACAGAGUCACCAGGGGCUUCCUAAGCACCAGACACUCCAGGCUCACCAGCAACCAGUCCUCAUCACAACUUAUGAGGUGCUUGGGAUAGAACAAUGAAUAAUGUAAACAAAACACCCUGCUCAUAUGGAAAUUCCAUUACAUCUACAGAUCUACAUUACAUCUACAAGUAUAUGUAUGUGUAUGAAUGUGCAUAUGUAUGUAUUUGUCAAAUCAUGUCCACUUGAACCCAUACUGUGGCUAAAAAAGUAUUAAUAAACUGCUAUUCUUUCUUUAAAGAAUAGA